UAUCUGUACAUUGUAUAGAUAUGAUCCAGUCAAACUGUAACUAAUUUCUCUAGAUGGACUCCAAGCUACAAUUUUUACUAAGCAAACACUAACAAAGAUGAAAUAGGUUCACGUUGAAUUAAAAUUCAAGAAAUACAUCAGUACAAAAGUGUGACCUUUUUGCCGGAAUUGUCCUCUAGAAAGACACGGUAAUCUAGGGUUUCGGGCUGUCCUUCUUCUUUGGUCUGAAGCUGGGGAUUGUAGAUAGCGCUACAAGUGAAAAGACGCUUCUUUUGCACAGGUCCGUUUCUGAAGCAAAGGCUGAAACUAUUGGGCCUUCGUAAUGGACCUUUCGAUAGAAGCGAGGCUGUUACGGUAUUGCUGGCUGAUACCAUCACUCUUGCCGCCGCCAUUGCUGCUUUUUGCUGGCGAGAAAUUGGAGAAGAUGGAUGAACUUCAGUGACUGCUCCUAUCACUGCAUAACUUCAGCCACAUAUACAAAUGGUGAUAUCUGAUUGGUUAACUGGAACAUUCGCUUUUAUUUCCUAUUUUUCUAAGUGCUCCCACUUUUGUUAUCUACGUUUUUGUACACUUCUUAGGGGUAGUUUGAUUGGAAAAAGUUAUCCUAAUAGUAUUAAUUAUUUCGGUAUCAGGUAUCACAAAAUUAGUUAUUUCAUUUGUUACGGGAUAAAAAAUAUUAUAAUUUUAAAAUUAAUUAUAUUAUAAUUUUUUUCCACCAAAUAUAGGAUAAAAUUUUUUUAAAUUUAUUCCCGUAAUUAAUUAUUUUUUAUUUCUCGUACCAAAGGAGCCUUAUGUCUUGUCUUGUUUUUUUCCAUUAUCUUUUGUCUUGUUUUUUAUACCCUCUUUUGUCCUUUUGUGUUUUUAAAAAUUCUUUGUACUGUUCUCUUGUGUAUUUAUAGGGUUUUUUUUGGCUUAUUUAAGUGUUAAUUGACUUUUAAAUAUUUUUUAAAUUUUUGUGGUAUUUAAUAAUAAUAAAAAGUGCUUUAAAAGUAUUUACUUUUAGGCUUGCAAGUUAAAAAAUAAGCCAAAAGUUGGGUGAGUUAUGGAUAGUCAUUCCUAAGCUAUGACCUGAUCCCGCUAAGCAAGAAUUGCUAUCAACACUGAAUCUUAGGAUUGUUUAUCGGGCGGAUUGAGUGGAUAUAUAUAUAUAUCCCUUUCUUCUCCCGUAUUGUAUCAAAGUAAAUUAGAAUAAAAGAAAGCCAAUUAAAAGGAGUCAUCUAACUGCGACAAAAGAUAGAAUUUAAUGUCUGAAACAAGAUAAUAUAUAUAUAUAGAAGAUUGUGGAAUCAGUGAGUCCAAGAUGCUAAACAUGAAACACUAAGUAACAGAACCAAACCUAAGACCGACCCACUUCGGUUACCUCAUAAAGACAGUCACUUUCAAAUAGUAUAGGUCCAAAUCCUACCCUCCGCACCCCCUUUUUUCUUUUUUGAUGAAUGAGAAUUCCAUUUGGGGCUGCCUGCAGCCUUCGAAACAUGGGGAUAAUGGGCCCUCUACCCCUCUCCACUUAAAUACCAGCUUUUAUUUGCAUGACGCAGGGCUGAACCUCUGACAUAAAUCCUUCCCUCCCCACUCCCCUCCUUACUUUUUUAAUGACCGAGAAAUCUGUCCAGGGCCGACCCAUAUGACCGAUAGAAGCCUUCCAAACUCAGGGAUAAUGGGCCCACCUCCCUCCCUUCUUAUCCCACUACAAGGGAAGCUGGUAGGAACCAGCAAGAUACUUACAUCUCAAAAUAUAUUAUACUAAAAGAAUGUGCAAAGGUGACAAAAUAGACUAACGGAUAGUAUCGAAGUUUGCCCUUCUUUGUGUCUUGUUUAAUAGGGGUGUGUUGCUCAUCUGUAGCAACUUCCAUCUUUGCACUUGAUUCUUUGGGGAUCUCAACAACAAAAUUGAAUAUACCAUCACCCAGAUGUAGUGGAAUGUCAUGCCAGGGAGAUAUCUGUACAUUGUAUAGAUAUGAUCCAGUCAAACUGUAACUAAUUUCUCUAGAUGGACUCCAAGCUACAAUUUUUACUAAGCAAACACUAACAAAGAUGAAAUAGGUUCACGUUGAAUUAAAAUUCAAGAAAUACAUCAGUACAAAAGUGUGACCUUUUUGCCGGAAUUGUCCUCUAGAAAGACACGGUAAUCUAGGGUUUCGGGCUGUCCUUCUUCUUUGGUCUGAAGCUGGGGAUUGUAGAUAGCGCUACAAGUGAAAAGACGCUUCUUUUGCACAGGUCCGUUUCUGAAGCAAAGGCUGAAACUAUUGGGCCUUCGUAAUGGACCUUUCGAUAGAAGCGAGGCUGUUACGGUAUUGCUGGCUGAUACCAUCACUCUUGCCGCCGCCAUUGCUGCUUUUUGCUGGCGAGAAAUUGGAGAAGAUGGAUGAACUUCAGUGACUGCUCCUAUCACUGCAUAACUUCAGCCACAUAUACAAAUGGUGAUAUCUGAUUGGUUAACUGGAACAUUCGCUUUUAUUUCCUAUUUUUCUAAGUGCUCCCACUUUUGUUAUCUACGUUUUUGUACACUUCUUAG
rnacentral:lncRNA from 1 species